rnacentral:lncRNA from 1 species
UGGAAUAGAUCCCUCUAAACGGCUCCUUGAAUAGUUACUGCGGCAUUUUUUUCCCCAACUCCAAUCCAAGCUUCAUAUUUUUCGCGAAAUACCAGAAGACAAGACAUCGUAUGUGUUAACUUUAUGUUAAAUUGCUAGUAUCCUCUCUAUUGAAAUGCAAAAUGGACUCCUCAUGCUUGGAUUAUUUGAUUGAAAUUAAUAACAGAACGCUGGGUUUCCUUUUGCCUUCUCUUAGGGUUUAGGGUUUGUUUGAUUAAGAAGUGGAAUAUUCUUUAAUAAUUUUGAGCUAUUAAUUUGGUAAACAACUUUUUUGGGUCGAUUUUAAUUACAAUUUGGAUUGCACCAAUAAUGAGUUUCCCUAAUAAAUUUCUAGUACUUUAUAGACCUAAUUUUGAAGUCUUGGAAAAGUUUAAUUGUUGAACUCUGACUUGUUUGUAUUACUAUCUGCAUGCAUGUGUGUGUCAAUGUAGUAAAAAAGGAGCUUUUUUUUUUUGUUCUUUUUUUUUUCUUCUGUAUGUAGGUCUUCUUCCACUUAGCUUAAUGUGCUUUAUGUUAUAUAUAUUUUUUUUUAAUGUUUUUUAAUCUUUUUGUUCCUGGAACUUCAUUUCUUGCAGAACUUCAUUUCUUUCCAGACUGAAUAUACUGGUUUUAUUAAGCAAGAGGUAACCUUUGUUUGUUUGGAGCAUAUAAUGAAAUCCUUUUGAAAUGCACCAGUACGGGGUUUGUCAUGGAGGGCAUCUAAUGCUAUAUUUUUCAUAUUUGAUUUAAUGCCGCUAUAUUUUGUCUUGAGAUUCUUUUGGUAAAAUAUGGCAUGGCAUGCUAUGUACUUCUGCACUGUGUUUUCUAUCAUGUUAUCCAUUGUUUAGGUUGAUGGUUGUAUAACAUGAAAUUUUAUCUUUUGGCAUGUUUUUACAUAUGCUUCGACAUAUUGCAUAAAUAUUCUGAUGUGAAACCACUGAUGUUUACCAGGGUUGCUUCUGAUUUGGCCAUCCUGCCAUGGCUAAUAAUUCUCACUUCACUGCCAUGCAGGUAUCCCUUCCAGAAGAAUCUUUUUCCCUUUUCCUAAAGUUAGAAAAUUUCGGUUUAAUAUAAAAUUCUUAUGCAUUCUCUGGUAUUUAUACAUCAAAUACUUUGGUAUCUCUGGUACAUUGAAUACGUUGGUGUCAAAAUCUGUGUAUGUAGAGAAUAAGGUUCUACCACUUUUUGUAUACCACUUAUAUACCGGAAUUUUCC